rnacentral:rRNA from 2 species
UACAGGGGGUGCAAACGUUGCUCGGAAUCAUUGGGCGUAAAGCGCACGUAGGCGGUUCGUUAUGUCGGAUGUGAAAGCCCUUGGCUUAACCGAGGAAGUGCAUCCGAAACUGGCGAGCUAGAGUACGAAAGAGGAUCGCGGAAUUCCCGGUGUAGAGGUGAAAUUCGUAGAUAUUGGGAAGAACACCGGUGGCGAAGGCGGCGACCUGGUCCUUGACUGACGCUGAGGCGCGAAAGCGUGGGGAGCAAACAGG